GCUAGGCAUGGUGGUGGGUGCCUGUAAUCCCAGCUACUCAGGAGGCUGAGGCAGAAGAAUCACUUGAGCUCAGGAGGCGGAGGUUGCAGUGAGCCGGGAUCGUGCCACUGCACUCCAGCCUGGGUGACAGAGUGAGACUCUGUCUCUA
ensembl:misc_RNA Metazoa_SRP Metazoan signal recognition particle RNA